rnacentral:rRNA from 1 species
AGAGUUUGAUCCUGGCUCAGAUUGAACGCUGGCGGUAGGCUUAACACAUGCAAGUCGAGCGAGAAAGUCCUUCGGGGCGAGUACAGCGGCGGACGGGUGAGUAACGCGUAGGAAUCUACCUGGUAGUGGGGGACAACAUGUGGAAACGCAUGCUAAUACCGCAUACGCCCUGAGGGGGAAAGCGGGGGCCCCGUUUCUUUUAGGAGAGACGGACCUCGCGCUAUCAGAUGAGCCUGCGUUAGAUUAGCUAGUUGGUGGGGUAAAGGCUCACCAAGGCGACGAUCUAUAGCUGGUCUGAGAGGAUGAUCAGCCACACUGGGACUGAGACACGGCCCAGACUCCUACGGGAGGCAGCAGUGGGGAAUAUUGCGCAAUGGGGGAAACCCUGACGCAGCCAUACCGCGUGUGUGAAGAAGGCCCUAGGGUUGUAAAGCACUUUCAAUUGGGAGGAAAGGUUGCUGGUUAAUAGCCAGUAGCUGUGACGUUACCUUUAGAAGAAGCACCGCUAACU